ACAUUAUUCAAAAGGUUCAGAACCACUGAUCUAUAGAAUAUAUAUCCUGAACUUUACAGGCACACCAUAUGCCAAAUACCCUCUUUCAGAAACUCAUCAUAUAGUUGAGCUUUGCAUGGCCUAGCUUUAUUGCCAAUAAAUGAAAAAAUUUCUGACAGCUUCCCAAGAAAGCCUUACAAGGUCAAGAAUUUCAAUACAGGUACUAGGGCAGUACAACAUCUCCUGAUUGCAUCUGUUGAUACCACCCAUUGUAAAGUUAUAAUCACAAAUCACUUUUGGCUUUAGUUUUCUUUUGCCGUCCCUGAAUAAACUGAUACAGAUGAUGCAUCAUGAAAAGAACUAAGCACAUUUACUAUUUUCUUAUCAUUCCAUAAUGAAAGAAGCUACAGCAUUGAUUGUGUUUAGCUGUGAAGAAACGAUAGUACUCCCUUACAAUGAUAUAAACCUAUAAUGCCAUCUAGGUGCAAAACGAAAUGCAAAAUAUAAAUAAUACAAUAUUCUCUGCUUACACGGAGAAAAAGCAGGAUCCACAUUGAAAAUAAGAGAACUAAACUUUGCAUACGAUAUCUCCAUGCAGCCCGUAUUACGAGACGGAUUUCGUAUCCCAUAGAAUCGUGGGGAACGUACGCAAAGGGUUAAAGUAAGAUGUUUUUCAUGAAGCUUGCUUCUUCUGCAUAUUUUGAGAGCAAACUAUAUAUCUUCUCUUCAUUUAGAAUUAGAGAUGGAAAAUGCCUUUCUGAAAGGAAAAAUGGUAUUUCUGUUCUUGACAUGAUCCUCUUUGUAAUCUGUUCGAUUUUUUUAAAUAAAAACUAAAGUAAUGGUG